AAGUUUAAAAUUUUAAAUUAUUAUUUUUUUAAUUUUAAAUUUAAAAUUUGAUAUUUGAUAUUUUAAAAUUUAAAUUUAAUUUUAAAUUUAAAAUUUAGAACUUUAAAUUUUUUUAAUUUGAGAUUUAAAAAUUUCAAUUUUAUUUUGAAUUUUUAAAUUUUUAUAGUAAUAUAUUUAAAUUUAAAUUUUAAAAAUAAAAUUUAAAAAUUUAAAUUCAAAUAUAAGGGGCAAUAUUAUUAUUUUCUAUUUAUAACUACCUGUUAUUUUUCUUAUUCUAUUUUAUCUAUUCAACGUUAUUUUUCUUAUUUCCGGAAACAAUUCAAUUUUUAUCGAAAUGCAAAAUUGGUCAAUUCCAGGCUUAACGAUGAACUUAUACCUAUCUCUGCAAUAACUAGUUCUUAUUUAACCCCGAACCAAGCGAAGCUUGGGUUUAGUAGUACCCUAUAGGGGAGUAGUAUUAACCCAAGGAUUAGAUAAUGGUCAAAGGAUUGUUACAAGGAUUAAAAAAUUAAAAGCACCAAUGAAUGAUGAUUCCGGAAGCAUUAUAGUCGGACUCAAAAUAAGAGUAGCACUCCUAUACUUGUUAUUUUUUUGAUUUUGUUUAUUCAUUUCUAUUCAACGGCUUAGAUUUAUAUUUUUUUAAAUUGUGACAUGCAAUAGCAGAUCAUUUUGAGAGAGGUAUCGGUCAACAGGUACCUCGAAAAGGAAUAUUUGGUCUUUUAAUGCGUUGGUAAUUUAGUAAUUUUAUCUCUACUGUAUUAUCAAAUCUCUCUUUUCUCUUUGUUUUCUUUUUUUCGCUCUAUCUUUCCUCUUCAUCCACAGUAGAGAUGUAAAGGGGUCGUAUUUGGGGCGGAUUUUCAAAAACCCGAACUUGAACCUGACUAUCAAAUCCGAAAUCCGAACCCAAAAGCAAAUCUGACAAAUUUUAGAGAAUCAUAUCCACACCCAUACCCGACUAAAUAUUUGAAACCUGAACCCUAGCCCGAACACGAAGAUCCGAACCGGAAACAUUAUUAAAUUGAAUCUAAAUUUUUAAAAUUCAUAUUCAAAUAUAAUAUCAAACAUCUAUACACAUUAUAUACAACUAAAAAUAAAUUCAGGCUUCAGUCGGUUUCAUGUUCAGGUCGAAUACAAUCAAAAUCAAUACCCGAGUUCAAAUCUGUUGGGUUUUCAUUUUUGAUAUCCAUAUUCGGAACUAUAUCCCUUUAGCAUAGAUAAAAAUCCACUACGUUCGCUUUCGGGUUUGGGUUCGGAUUCGGAUAAAAUUAAGGAUAUCCAUACCCAUUAACAUUUGUAAUCUACAGAUAUUUUGUCAUUUCAUAUAAGGAAGCUUUCAAAUUAUUUGACAAUAUGACUUUAAAAAGAUAAUUUUUCUCUUCUCUUUGAAUUUAUAUUUUAAAAAUUUAGAUUUAAUAUAAUAUUAUUUUGUAAUAUAGUUAAAAUAAAUAAUUGUUUUGGGUUUCGCAUCUUCAGGUUUGGGUUUGGUUUUGAAUUUCGGAUUUUUGGUGAGUUCCAGAUUUGGAUAUGGAUUUUUCAAACCUGUUAAUUUCGAAAAUAGGUUUUGCAAUUGAUAGUUGGGUUUGAGUUGGGAUCCUUAACCAUUUUUUUUUACCAGUAAUCUUCAUUUUUUAAUCUUUACAUUUAAAAUUUUGUUUAAAAUUUUUAUUAUUUCGAACGGUUAAAAUAUCAUUAUGUUUAAAAUGUCUAUUAUCUCUAACAAUUCUAGAUUAUUUUUAAUAUUAUUCAGUUCAGUGGGUUGAACUGAGAAGCUUGCUAGAAUAGAUUACGGUUUGAUCAGUCGAAUUAAUUAUUUCAAUCUAGUUUUAAAUCAUUGAUACUAAUUUAAUUAAAAUGAAUAAUAAAAAUU
rnacentral:lncRNA from 1 species